AGGAACUUAGGUUAAUACAAACCAAGGGCCUUCAAAGCCCUAAAUAGAAGCCACACCCUCUAGUCCCUG
rnacentral:tRNA from 2 species